UGGAGCGCAGGGUGAGGGCUGUGGUCGGCGCUCGCUUUGGAGGUGGGGGAGCUGGACGGGCAGACGGAGACAGGUGUGAGCACCCCAGGCCCUGCUGCCCCUCCCCCUGGCCUCUCCAUUCCCCACUCCUGGACAUGGCACUGUCCAGGGGCCAGGCAGGUGUCACUGAGGCCCAGGAUGAGUCAUGUGGCAGGGCCCUGUGGUCCUAGGGACUCUGGGCCACGAUGGUUAGGACCUCACAGGUGUUUCGGGUGGGCCGGAAGGCACUGUGGGCCAGGGGUGGAGGACAGGUGUAACCUCUGCAGAAAGAGAGGCACAGCCCUGUCCCCCAGGGUCUGCGAGAGACUCAUAGCACAGUCUGGAUGGCUGCAGCAGCCGUAGGCCCUUAGCCACCACCUGCCAGGCUGGGCACAGGUCCCACACCCACCCUGUCCCAGUGGGGACACAGGUCCCUUGCUCCAGCUGAUGGGGCUUUGGGAGGAGCUGGCUCUGCCCUCCUGGUGCACAGCUGGAGCUCUUCCCCUCCCCCUGCUGGAUGGCCUCCCACUGUCCCUGCCCCUCCUCCAGUUCUGGGCAUUCUCUCCCCAGCCCAGCCUUCCUGCUGUCACAGGACUUGGUGUCCCAUGUCCCAUGCAGCUGUCCCUGGGAGAGCUGGCUAGGAGGAUGGCCGUGGCCUCCCCCUCCUUCCCACCAGUGGCCUGCGCUUGAUCUCUCUCUGCAGGUUCCACUCCACUCUGGGAGGUGACCCUGGGGCCCCUGCAGGGGAUGUACCUUGUUUCCUGGCAGUGUCCUCAGGGUCCAGACUCCUGGUCACCGUGACGACCUUGAGGACAAGGUGAUUCCCUCCCUGGCGGAUCAUGUCCACCACCUGCCUGUGGCCGACCUUGACGACGUUCUCGUUGUUGACCUGGAGGAAGACAGGGAACUGGCCUGAGUGGCGGCAGCAAAGGCAGCAGGUGCCAGGUGGGGACAGCGUGGGGUCCUACCUUCUGGAAGCCAGAGUGCUUUGGGGGAAACUGGGACAAGUGCCUGUGGUGGGGUCACCUGGCUGUGGCCCAGGGCCCUCUGCAGCUUCCAGGGACAGCUGGUUCUGGGGUGCCCAGUGCUCGCUCCUGUGGCUUAGGGCAGUCCUCAUGGCCUGCAGGUCCCUGCAGAACCCAACAGGCGUGUCCAGGCGGGCUGCCCACCCUCUCGGCAAAGGGACCUGUGGCACUUAAUCGCUUCUCACGCUGACCCUGACAUGGCCCCUCCUCCCCUUUCCCCAUCUGGAAGCCUCAGGUGGCACAAAGUGGGGGUCAACAAGGUGCCAGGAGGGGCUGCCCUGGCCCAGGGAGGAGGGGCAGUGCCCCUGUAUGCUCUCCUGGAUGACACAAGACCAACAGGGGUGGACGGGGCAGGUGUCUGGUGCCUGCCGUGCACACGGUCCAGCGGCAGUUGUCCAGUGCUGUGGGGUACACACCUGCUUGCCCCUGCCACCACACUGCACCUGGACAACAGGCUCCGCACCUGUCAUCCCUGCGCUCUGCCCUGUGCCCCCCUCACGCUAUCUCCAGCUAGAAGCAGGAGGGUCAGACCUGCAGGAUCAAGUUCAAGACCAUUUACGUGCAGAAGUACUGACACCUGUCCCUGGGUGACCGCCAGCCACCACUGGACUUGCUAAGAGUCGAACAAGGGACCCAGCUAAUGCAGGAGGAGAGAAGCUGGAGUGGGCGAUGGAGAGCUGGCUGAGGGCAGGCGCAGCAGCCACCUCAGGCACCUCCUGCUCCUGGGGUUCCCUCCACUCAGCCCGUGCACAGGGACUCCCGCCUGGGAGUCUUGCUCAUUCACUCAUCCACCCAGUACUUUAGUCGUGAGUGGCCUCUGAGAGCCGGGAGGCCAGGGCUAACCCAGCCGGCCAUCUGUCCCUGCACACAGAGCUUCUGUUCUCAUGGGGAGUCAAGAGCCAGAUGGGAGGAAGGAGCACUGUGCAGGGGAGAGGUCCCCAGGACCAUUCUGCCGUCUCUAGCCAUCCCGCAGCCCCCAUGCCACCCGCUGACCCUCACGGCCCCAAGCUGAUUCUCUAGGACUCUGGUUCCCGGGAGUUUCUCCCCAAGGGUCUGUGGUGGACAUUGCCCUGGAGUGACCUUGGCUGUUGAGGAAGCAGACACUUACUCCUGGGUCUGGGAGGUUAGUGGGCUGGGAACCCUUUCCUCUGAAGGUCAGAGGCAGAUGCCACCCUCAGGGGAGGACAAAGGGACGAGCUGCUAACAGGGGCCUCUCCUGCAGCUCAGGGACUCGCACCUGUGCUGAAGGCCUAUGCAGAUGGACGGUGAUGGGACCUCGGGGCCCCAAAGGUCACCCGCCUCCCACGGCUGGCACGCCUGUGUCCUGGGAGGUGUGCAUGGGGCACCACAUCAGGAGGACACGGAGGCCACACGCCACGCCCAGCCAACACCCGAGGGCGUCUGCCGGGCUGCUCUCCCAUGAAGCAGCUCAGGGACAGCAGGUCCCAGGCGUGCUGCUUCUUGCUAGGGCCCUCGGCAGGACAACAGCCUCUGUCACACAGUCGUGGCCCUGCAGAGCCGUGGCCCAGCCUCCCGUCAUUUAGCAGGGGCACGAGCGUGGCCACCUCAGGGCCCUGUAGGCACCCUCCACGCCAGGAGGGGCGCUGGACUCCGGCCACCCAGCCACCACUGAGCCAGGGUCCUGCUGUCCUUCUCUUGGUGCCGGCUGCUUUUGGAGGCUCCACAGAGGUCUCAUUCUCUGGAGGGUCUUGCUGAGUUCUGAGGCUGGCCUUGAACUGGUGACCCUCCUGCUCCUGAGGAGCUGCGAUUAGGAGAGCAUGGCAGCCCCAGCCACUUUCAGAAUGUUGGAAGGGGACAAAAGGAGCCUUGCAGGUAACUGGUCUCAACCAGACCAGGGGACAUUUGUGAAGUUGAUUUCAAUUUGAGACGUGCAGAUGACGGAGCUGACCAUCCAGAGCCAGGAUCACAUGGAACCUCGCCCUGUGCCCACAGCCUGUCCCUCUGUGGGAGCAGGAACACAUGUGAGGGGCCUGCCGUUGGCCUCUCUGCAUGUGGCACAGAGGCAGGGGCCGCAUGUCACCAUCCCACGAGUUCCUCUGAACCCCACACACCAGAUGGACACAGGUGAGGUCUGGGGACCCCGGGGGGAGCCCCUCACCUCAGCCCAAACUGUGUUGGCAAAAGGCGGUGCGGUGGCCCCUCAGGCGCCUGCAGGCAGCCCCAGCAUGAAGCCCACAGCCCUGGUGACAGACACUUGCCUUAGUGCUCGGAGCCAGGAUUCCCGUCUCCUGAGCCAGCCGAGAGCUGCUGGCCUGUCCAUCCAGCAAGGCCUAGUGGGGACACCUCAAUGUCCAUCUGCUCCACACCCUCCAGGUGUGGCUUGGGCUCUGCCACAUGGCAUAGAGCACACGGUGGGCCACCAAGCUGUCCCCGGGGCAGGAAGGCCCUGAUGGAGAAAUGACUGCCCACAGCCUGUGCCCUGCCCUGAUUUGGGCAGGGAGCACACCUGUCUGCCAGGGACCCUGCAGGGCACAAGGCCUGCCCAGAGUGGGCGGUUCCCACACUUCCCACACAGGUCCGUCCUAGCCUGCUGCCCGUGUGGAACCUGGGUCACCUUUCCUGCUGCCCCGAGGCCCGGGCUUAAGCCUGCCUGCUCCUUGCUCUACCCGCUUUCUGCCCGUCCCGCUCUGAGGCCUUUGGGCACUGGUCACCCCCACUCCACCCAGAUUGGAGAGGCCCUUACGGAGAUGUGUGCCCACAAUGAGGCCUGGCCGCAUCCAUGUGCCCGUCUCCCUCCACCUGUGCAGGGAUGUCUUGCUGGGGGUGAGCCGUGGCACAGUGGUCCCCAAGGCUGGAUUCCCUCCUCAGGGAAAGCGAGCCCCUUUCCUGGACAAAGGGACGGGCUUCUCAAGCUGCAGGGACACAGGGGUGGCAGCACCCCGCAGCGGUGCUCUGACCUCGGUCUCUCUUCGUCCUCACCCCUCCAACCAGGUCUGGAGAGCUCCCUGCUCUGGAAAGCAGAUGAGCUUGGCACAGCGCCUUCCCCAGAGGAGAGGCACCCUCCGUCAGAGCCGGGCUCAGGGCCGCUUUGCCCUGGCCUGGGUGGGCUCUGGGGCACCUGCCCAAGGCACGCGAGGCCACUGCAGCUGGAAGGGCACACACUCCACAAGAAGAGCAGGGCGGCAGGGGCUGGACGUGGGGCGCUCGCCUCGCACGUGGGAGGUAUGGGGUUGAGCCUCGGCACAGGGGAGAUUAGUAAAGGUAUUGCCUUCAUCUGCGACUGAAAAGAUGUUUUAAAAAGAAAGACGAGCAGGACGAAGGCACACGGUGCCCGCAGUACCCGCCACCUGGGCCUCGCUGGUGGGAAAUGCCGCAGGACCUGUGCAGGGAGUCCCUGUCCACCACAGCAAGCGCAGAGGGCCACCAGCUGAGUCCCAUGCCUCCCAGCCUGUGGACAGGCCAAAGCCAGCUUAGCCGGCCGUGGGUCUUCAGAGCCAGCCUGUCCCUAAGGCAGAGGCCACGGGGUGCUCAUGUGCUGACAGAGACCCGGAGUAGGGAGGCCUGCUGGUGCCUCACCUGCCCACUUGGCAUCCCAAACUCACUCAAAAUCCUGGACCUGCAAUUCUGGCAUGCUGCCACCGGGGGGAGUUGCUGCACCCACACCAGGCUCCGGGAAGCACUGAGGCUCCUGGAGUUCCCGCCUUGGAGAAGAGAGAGCCUCACAAGUCCCAGGCCCAGUUAAAAGCAAGAGAGCAACGUGCCUCUCCAUGCGUUACCCUCACAUACAGACAGGGAGUGAACCCCACAGCCACGUCCAGGGAGGUGGCAGGACCCCAAGCCACAGGGCAUUCAGCCAGUCAGGGAUCAAGACGGAGCGCACGCCUUCCUCAUCAGUAAUGCUCCCACAUGACGCUGUUCAGAAUAUCAAAGCUGUGCACACUCCUUCUAGGCCAAGAGACUAACACUGCUCCAGGUUGGUUAUGGCAGAGGCCCUCUCCUCGGCCGAUUCUGCGUCUCCCCCUGUCUUGAAGUGCCUGUCUGUCGUUGCUAUGAUAUUUACGUUUUAGCUAUUAUCUGCUGGCUCAUUGCUUUGGAAAACGAUGGCUUAGCUUGGGAUUGCUCAACAGUGGCAUUACUGUGAUUUUGGACCUGUUCUUUGUUGUGGGUGUGCACUGUAGGAUGUUUAGCAAUGUCCCUGAAUUCUACCCACUAGAUGCCAACGGCUACCCCUGCACCUGAGAUGGAACCUAGAUCUCACUGUCACGGCACAGACUACAGAGCACACCGUGGGGACCCCUGUCACACUCACCCCAGGAUAGGAAGCCCCACCCCAUGGACAGAUGUCUGAGCCAGUGGCCUCUACCCUGCUGGAGAACAGCGCCAGGCAUCCCAGGGGAGGUCAGAGGCACCCCCAGCUGGGAGCCGCCUGCCUGGCUCCCUCCCUUUGUCCCCCGCCGUUCCCAGCACACCACUCUCCAGAUACACCAGAAUUUUAAGUAGACCAACGCUCAGGAUCUGCUUCAUGACUAUGCAAUAUCUAUUCAUAGUUCAGCCAUAUAGUUAACUGUGAUUACUUUGUUUUUUUCCUGUACAUUUUUCCCCUGGAGCAAAAUGAUUUUUUUUUUAUUGAUUUAAUUUUCUAUGUACUUAACAGUAAUUCAAAUCCAAACACUUCCUUAAUUAUGUAAAUCUCUUCAACAUGUUCAAACCCAUUUGGUAUUUCAAGUCUGUCUGCUUGAAGAAGUCUCUCUUGAGGACUGUGCUUUGCUCUUCAUGGCCAGAACCCACCGUUUCUGCCUCUUGUCCUCUUACUGACAUCCUGGGGAUUUCUUUCAUGCUUUCUUAUGAGGGACAUAUUGAACCCCAAACUCCACAUUGCACUUGUUUAUUUGUUUUACAGCCUCCUCUUUUGUAUGGAUGCCCUUCAGUAACUUCCUUAGGAAGGAAUCUGGAAGUCUUACUUCUGGACACACUGCCUGUUUGAAAGUGGCUUUAUUUUCAUAUUUAAUUGGUAGUUUGGCUGGGUAUAAUUUAUGAGGUUGGAGGAUGGGUAAAGUCAGCUCCUAAGAUGAAGUAUGUAGGUGACACUUAUAAAGUCUAGACAAAACACAACCCCCAACCUAAACCCUCAAGGAAAGCAAUCAUCUAAAGGCUUUGGAGGCCAAAAAGAGGUGGGUGGAUUUCAUGUGGAGUUGAAACCUGUUAAGUUUGGGGCCAGUGUGGUGGGAGAGACGGGAAAUCAGAGGGCAGAACCCAGGGCGGCCACAGCUGCCAAAGCCAGGGGAGACUCCCAGCAGAGAGGGCAGAAAUGUGGCCCCAUGUUCUGUGUGCACCCCCAGGUCUCCAGGGAGUGUCAACUGUGUGGGCACAGGGCUGACCCAGACAUCAGCCACUGCAGUGAGGCCACGCACCUGUGGGGAAGCUGAGCUGCCCCUGCAGGCCACACAGGGGCUAACCAAGCCAACGAUCAGUCACAGCAAAAACAUGGAUGUUCAUCUGGGGAAUACAGCAGAACCCAGAGUGGCCGCGGCACAGCAUUCACAAUAUUCAGGAUACAAUUCAAACCUAAUAAACUCAGAGAUGCCCCCGAAGUUACAAUUAUCAGAUGAGGACUUUAGAAACAGCUAUUAUCACAAUACUAAAUUACAUAAAGGAGAAUAUACUUAUAAUGAGUAAAAGAUAGGGAAUUUUGAGAAAUAAAAUGGAGAGAACUAGCUGAAAGCAUUAAAAGUAAGAAAUAUCUGAAAUUUAAAAAAUGCUCUGGAUGGGCUUAAAAGCAGAAUAGAUAUGAAAGAGUUAGGAGCCAGUGAUCCACCAACAGAACCUGUCCACUCUGAAGACGAGAGGAGAACAGGUUUUUAAAAGAGUGAACAGAUUCUUAUGACUUAGGGAGCGAUAUCAAAGGGUAACAUAGGGGUAGAGCCCUAGAAGGGGGGAAGUUAGAGUCGUAGAGGAGAGAGGAAAUGAAUCAGAAAAAAUAUUUUGGGCAAAAGCUUCCCAGGCAGGCGAGGAACAUUAAUUUAUAGAUUCAAAACAGUGAAUCCCAACCAGGAAAGAACCCCAGAGGGCCACGUUUUGCUAAGAGCCCAGGCAAGGGGGAGACGCUCAAGCAGCCAGAGAAGAGGGCCCAGCUUGCGGGACGGCGCCCCGAGUGCUUGCAGACUUCACAUCUGAAACUCUGCAGGUCAGAGGACGGUGGGUGGGCCACCCUUAAAAACGUGGGAAGGAAAGAACUUUCUGUACCUGGUGGAAAUAUUUUAAAAGAACGAAGGCAAAGCUAAGACCUUUAUAGGGAAAUAAAAAACAAAGCUAUUUGUUACCAACAGAUUUGACCAGAGAGCAGGCAGAGGAGGGUCUGUGGGGCGAGGUCGUGGGGGCCGUCGGAGCGGGUGAACCCGAGGACACAGGAGCCUGUUUUCCCUCUUAGUUCAAAAGAGACGUGAGGGACGCAGAUCAGCAGCACGGUCUUGGGGGAGUCGCGGGCGGGCAGAAGCACAGCGGGCGCACCACGUGUCCAGGUGCGGAUCCUAUGUGAAGUCCACUCAGACCAAGAAGCUAAGGCUGUGACCCUAGGCCAGCACCAGGAGGUGUGGAGGACACGCGAGAGCCCAUGGGUAGGUCACAACAGCCUGGGACAGCAGCCAAGGCGGCAGGGGAAGCAGACAGUCUGGAAACUGACCGGUAAGCGUGCAUGGACAGCAUGGGUUAGAUCAGGUGUCAGUGGGUAAGACUCCAGGGAUAAGCACCACACGGGGUGGAUCGGAAAGACCGAGUGUGCUGAAAGGGUACAAAGGGAGACGGGGGCCCUGGUGGGUGGAUGUCAGCUGCAACCCCGUCCCUUCCGCCACUAGAGCAGCACUUGGGCGCGUUCGUCUCAAUUUAAAUACAAGGUCACUAUACAACCCAGAGAUCCAUUGGCAUGUCCCCAAGAGUGCCGAUGGCACGUGUCCCUGUGAAAGCCUGCCCAGAGUUCACAAGGGCCACAGAGUGCGGUGCGGGGCCGGGACAGCUGCUGGGGUCCAGGGUGUCCCUUUUGGGUGACAUUGACAUAUACCUGGGGGUUAGAGUGUCCGAUGGCCACACCACAAACCAUCAGCGGCCCCCCACUGGGCUGCCCAUUCUAGGAGACCGACGGUACGGCGAGAGCAGCCACCUCGCUGGAGUGGCCCACGGAGCCUUGGAAGGGGGAGCGCCAGAAGAGCAGAGUGACGUUUCAUGACGGCAAGAGGGAAUUCAGAAGGGGGCCGCGACCGUCACAUGAUGUCCACACCUAGCAGAGCCUGGGCCGGAGGGGGCCAACCGCAAAGAAGGAAAGAGGAGGGCAGGACCCGGGGCCCGGCACAUCUAGCAGGCGCACGCGCUCUUCGGGACACUGGAGGCUGCGCUCCCUGUGCUCACUGCCAGGACUGCCCGAGGGCCUGAAGGCGGUCACCUUGGUCCUGUGCCUGGGACUCCCGGCUCCAGCGUGGGAUCUGCUGACUCGUAAGAGCCCACGCUGCAGGGUCCCUGGAGCUCCCCCGAGCCUGGUGUGGCCGUCACCCAGACAACCUGUCCCUCAGCUCCAAGAGGGUCCCCAGGUGCUCCUCUAGCGCCCCCGCCUCCUGCUCUCCCUGAGGCUCCUCGCGGUCACCCUAGGCCUUCUGGGGCCGUCCUUUGUUUUCGAAGGUGCCCCUCCAUUUCCCACCCUUUCCUUCUCUCUGAGAGAUCUCAACGACUUCUCCUUUAGUCGCCUCUCAGAGGUCUCACACCUGCUGUGACGUCCUUAACUCCCGGGCUGGGGUGGUCCUCUGCACAGGUCGCAGCGCCUUCCUUGACCUCAGCCCACGGGCUUGGUGGCACCCAGCCCUCCCCUUGUCCUCGCCGUGUUGCUGUGCACCAGCCCUUUCCUGUCAAUUCACC